UCACAGGCGUGAGCCACCGCGCCCGUUCUGAACUGAUUUUUAUCUCCCCAGCCCCCCACUCAGCUGGAACUGACGGUGUGUGACCAACUGCAGCAGCCAGGGAACAAUGGCUCCGAGGAGAGAGAGUCACAACGUCCAGCGGUCAGUGUCCUUUGGUUUCCUCAGGGAACACGGGAGGCCAAGGACACUUAGCUUUGCCAGAUUCCUGGAACUCCAGCCCAGCCGGCCAUCCGAGUCCUCCGUCCGCUCACAAGGCUGUGCUGGAAACUAACCUGUCACGGUGGGACUGAGCCCGAGGGAGGUGCCACAAAGUGAAACUGGCUUCUGGAUCUGCCGGGUGAGAGUGAAAGUAAAGGUCACUUUUUGGUCCCCUGAGACCAAGACGCGACGGCAGCUCAUCCCUCAGCCCCGCAUCCUUCCUUCCGAGCCCCGGAUCACGCAGACCUUACAGGUAACUUGAAAGGCAUCUUCUGGGCAUUUUAGAUUACUAUCAAAGGCCCCAACUCUCUCUCUCUCCCUUAGAAAUACGGG